rnacentral:rRNA from 1 species
GACGAACGCUGGCGGCGUGCCUAACACAUGCAAGUCGAACGGAAAGGCCCGGUUUUUGUGGGGACCGGGAGUGGAGAACGGGUGAGUAUCACGUGAGUAACCUCUGCCUGACAGUGGGAGACCUUCAGGAAACAGGGGUUAUUAUCGCAUAUGAGCUCUUGCUGCAUGGUGGGGGAGGGAGAGAUUCGGCGGUUGGGUAUGGACGCGGGGCUAAUCAGUGUGUUGGUGAGGUAGUGGGUUACCAAGGCUUUGACGGGUUGCCGGCCUGCGAGGGUGACAGGCCACAUUGGGACUGGGGUACGACCCGGACGGCUACGGGAGGCAGCGGUGAGAGAUAGUGCACGAUAGGCGGAGGGAUGAUGGAACAACGCCGGGUGCGGGAAGUCGGCCUUCGGGUUGUAAACCGCUUUCGCCUGUAACGAAGCGUAAGUGACGGUAACGGGUAAAGAAGCACCGGCUAACUACGUG